AUCUUCUCAAUCACACCAUUGUCCUUUUCGUUUGGUGUGGCCAACACUACAAACGCUCCUGUGCUCGACAGUGAUGGCAACGAGCUCCGCACAGGCACCCCAUACUUCGUUGUGUCGUCGAUAUGGGGUGCUGGUGGUGGGGGGCUUGCCCUAGGCAUGCCUAGAGGAAAGCCAUGCCCGGAAGUCGUUGCUCAAAGAGGAUCCGGUGACGAUGGUAUUCCGGUGAUAUUUUCUAAUUCGGACUCCAACGAUGGCGUUGUUCGCCUAUCCUCUGACAUAAACAUAGAGUUCAUUCCCCUCAGACCCAGAUUUUGCCAAACAACAACGGUGUGGAAGGUCGAUGAUUACGACCACUCAGCCGGAAAAUGGUGGGUGAUAACCGAUGGGGUUAAAGGGAACCCAGGUGCCAACACUUUGACCAGUUGGUUUAGAAUAGAGAAGGCGGGUGAUCUUGAUUACCCAUUUAAGUACUGCCCCGCUGUAUGUGGAACAUGCCCAGCCUUAUGCAACAAAAUUACGAGAGACUCAGAUGGAGAAAUGAUACGUUUGGCUCUCUCCGCUGGCCAUGGAUGGCCAUUUUUCUUUAAGAAAUUUCAAACAUCAGCCAUGGAGAUUGAACAAGUUGUUCAUAAUUAGAUUGAAAGCAAUCAUUAUGCAUGAACUAGUAGUUACUAUACAAUAUUAGCUUCAAGUAAAUAAUGCUGGGAGAACUGAUUGUUAAGAUUGCCUUGUUUGAAGCAGCAGCAUGUAUAUAUAUAUGCUUGCUUACAAGGUUUGUCUCUCAGAGUCCUUCUCUUUGUACUCUUUUCAGCUUAAUAUAUAAACUGUCUACUUAUUUACUUCUUUUAUUGCCAUUGAUUCUAGUAGUAUUAGACUCAUUAACUUGGAUACAUUGUCUUGUAAGAGAUAGCUUAUCUCUUAACAACUGUUUGGGUCAACAAAAUUAAUGUAUAUAUGAAAACGAAUAUUGAAUUUGGAUGUCCAAUCAAUUUUUUUAAUUAAUUAAUUAAAAAGAAUUGUUUUAAUUCAAAAAAUCUAAAAGAAUUUGAUAAAAAAUGUGGAAGGGCACACUUGUAUGAUGAAUAGUAGUGAUAAUAAUGAUAGAAGUCGUUUUCCUAGCACAAGUAUGGGAUUCGUCCAUUUGGUUUUAUAUUUAUCCACUUGCCUGAGUGUUUAAGAGUUAAAAAGGACAAAACUAUUAAGUAGAAAACACCAAACGAAUUGGAAGGCUUUUGUCUUCUUCAAUUAGUAUGACCUAUAUUUCUUAUUAAACUUCGUAUUUUACAUUCAAUAUCAUCAUCGCAAUCAUUUUAAUUUAUUUUCAUGAAUAAACUUUUAUGUCCCAUUUUAAUUGAAUCAUUAAAAAUUAUUAAUUGAAUUUUUUUUAAGUCAAGUGAUACUAAUUUGAUUUUUUUAAAAAAGUUGUUUGAAUUAAUUUGAUUUCGUGUCAUAAUUGACAUAAAUGGCCAUUGUGAAUGGCAACAUCAAUAGUUAUUGAGUACAGCGGCUAAAAUUUUCAGUUAAAAAAAAAAGAAUGAAAGGAAAACAAAAAGAAAAACGUGGAAAGAAAGAAAGAAAGAAAGAAUAAUAAUAAUAAUAAUAAUAAUAAAUAAAAUAGAAUUGUGGGGGCGAUGCUUUUGAACAAAUCUUGAUUUAAACUAUAUAAAGAAAAUAUGUGUUAUAUAUAUAAUUAAUUAUGUACUUAUACUUAAUAUAUUAUAUAUCUAAUGUCAUAUUUUCAUAUUCUCAGGAAGUGGUGACAUACAAAUACUUGAUUCGAUUUAUUUCUUUAGCUCCCCGUGAAUUGUAUGUUUGUAACAUUAGGGAUAGAAUUUCUUCAAUUAUCCAAUUGACUGGACGUAUUGUGUCGAUUUUUUUUUAGUAAUAUACCUAGAAAUACCCGUUGAUUCUUUAUAAACGCUGUUUCGAACACAACUGGUACACUCUAAAAUAAUUUACUUGAACAUCAUUACUCUUAGCCAUGAACCUCCUUUGAGUUUUUAAUUCACCCAACUUUUUUAUUUUCCGAUCAAAAGCAAAGAAGAAAGGAAUGAAAAGAAAAGAAAGAAAUCAAAGUUGCUAACUCAAAACCAAAUCCUGAAAAUUUUCAUUUCAAUGAAUAUAGUAAGUAAAUAUAGAUUUAUAGUAAUAGCAAAUAAUAAGAAUUAAGUAAUAUAACGAUUUUUAAUUCUAUUUAGAAUCAAUUAAAAUAUUCAAAUAAAUAUUCAAUUAAAAUAAAUUAAACUGUAUAAAUUUUAUAAUUUUAAAUUAUUAUUUUUGUAUUAAUUUAAAAACAAAAUAAAUAUUAUAUACAAUGAUUUAGUUACAGCGUGUCAGCUUGAAGUCUAAGACUUUAUAACAUAUAAAUUUAAUAGAUAAUUAAUAACUAAAAAAUUAAAUAGCAAAAGCAUAAUUGCGCCACUUCUCACCAUUUUAAUGUAUGCAACUUAUUAUAUAUUUAUAUAUAUUAUCAUUUUAUUUUAAAUAAUUUAAUUUUAUAAAUUUAGGGAUAAAUCUCAAAAUUAUACAUGAACUUUAAUUUAAUAUGCAAUUGUAUAUAUAAACUUUAAUUUGGUACAAUUAUACACGUGAUACUUUAAUUGUGGUUUAAAUACUCACUUGAAACUUUAGUUUUGAUUUAAUAAUGCAUAUUUAAAUAAAUAAAUACAUCAAUUUUUUUAUAUUGGGUAAAUAUAAUUAUUUAUGUAUGCAAUAUAUAACAUAAAAUGAUGUUAUAUCAAUAAUUGUGUUAAUAAUUUUCAAGAAUUGGAUCAAAUCAAAAUUUCAUGUAUAAAAUUGAACAAAAUCAAAGUUAAUGUAUACAAUUGCACAUUAAACCAUAAUUCAUGUAUAUUUUUUUGUAUAUAUCCCAUAAAUUUAUUUCAUUAACUUUUUACCUAUAUCAUAUAUAGAGUUGUUCGUGAACCGAGCCAAGGAAUGCCUGCUCGAAAAAAUGAGAGGGUUUGGCAAAAAAAUAUAUGCCUAAAAAAUGGGCUUGGAUAAAAAGACAAGGCCCGUUUAGAAAAUGAACCGGCAUUGAGUAGGGUUUUUUUGUCCGGGCUCAGCCUAACCCGAAUUUUCAAUUAAAAAAAACCUUGUUGUUUUUGCUGCUAUUUUUCCAUAUCUUGGUGUUGUUUUCUCACUUUUUGCCGCUAUUUUACUACCAUUUCACUAUUAUGUUACUACUAUUUUUUUUAAUGUUUGGAUAUAGUAUAAUAAUUGUUUUAUUGUUAAUUUUAUCACUAUUUUAGAGACAUUUGUUUGUUAUGUUGUACUUAUUUUAGUUUUUAUUUAAGUAUAAAAAAAUUUAAAAUUUAUUUUCAAUUUAUUGAUAAACAUGUAAUUUAAUAUUUUCAGUGUAUUUAUUGUAUUAUAUUUGUUAAAUUUAUAUAAAAUUAAAAUUAAAAAAAUAUGGACCGAGAUGGGAGUUUAACAAAAAUUUAGGCCCAUUUUUCAAGUCGGGCCGAUCUCAAACCUAACAAUCGGACUUAAAAUUUUGUUAGAGCUCGGCCCAUCCCAUGAACAACUCUAAUUAUAUAUAUAUGUCAUUCUCUAAUAAUAAUAAUAAUAAUAAUAAUAAUAAGUGGAUAACAUAAAACUAGUAGUAAAGAGUAAGAAGACAAAGAAGAAUUAAGUGGAUAACAUAAAACGUGCGAAAACAUUUAUCUUCAAUUCUGACACAUAAAGCUAGUAUUUUUGGGUAAAGUAUAGAAAUGGUGAUUAAAUUAUUGUUGAUGUUCUAUUUUAAUUUUUAAUUUUUCUAUUUUAGUUAUUAAAUUAUUUGAAAUUAAAUUUUUUGGUUAUCAAAGGUUAACAGUAGUUUGAAAUUUAACAGAAAUAUUGAUGUGAACUUUUCUUAUUGAUUUAAUAAUAAAUUUAGCCUUCUAAUAUUUAUAUAUUCUAUUAAUUUGAUACUAAAUAUAAAAAUUUAACAAAUUUAACCUUCAAUAUUUACAAAUUUUGUUAUUUUAAUUCAAAUUCUAAAAAAAAUUUAAUAAAUUUAACCCUCAACAUUAAAAAAUUUGAUAAAUUUCAAUUUUUAAAAUUUUGUAAAUUCCUAAAAUAUAAAGCAUCAUUCUCCACCUCAUAGGAUUCCAUGUAAAUGGAUUUUCUUGAAUUCUUUACCAAGUUGUCUUGAGUUUAAUUUCUUCUUAUUUAGUUUGUGGAAUAAAUGGCAUAUAGUUAGAUGUCACUGCAGCUGACAAUGAAAGGUUUGACAAAGUUGAUAAAUUCAGAGCUUUUGAUGCUGAGCUUCAAAUCAGUCUUGCCUCCACUCACCCAAGAAAUCAACUUUACAAUUUUUAUUAAGUCUUAACUAGAUUAAUAUGAGUAUUGUUAUCAAUAUAGGAGAAAGUGAAUUUUAGUGCGUUGAAACACAUUAUCUUCUUAUUGAUGAAUUGAGGAGGGGCUAUGAAUAGUUUUAAAUAUUAUAUUAAAAAAGCAGAGAUAAUUGAAACCUACAAUAAUAUUGUUCAAAAAAAUUACCUAAAAACACGAAAUCUUACUCCCUGAAUUUUCUAGAAACACAAAUAUUUCUCCCUGCCUUUGAUGGUGUAUACAUGCAUGGCCAUGUGUGAGCUCCUGCAUUUUAACUAAUCAACACAGAUAAUACCCUCAAUGAGACAUUAAAAUUAACUUUUAUUUUUGUUUUUUCAUAAAUUUUAUAAUUUUGUAUUUCAAUGAAAAAAUCUAAAUCUAAGUUGAUCCGAGUCCAAAAAAAAAUCUGAAGCUGUAAAAAGUUUGAUCUGAGGCUGCUCAUUUGCCACCUCUAAUAACCAUUUGAUAGAGGUUUAAUAUAAAGGAAUUUAGAUUUUAGGAAUUUAUAAAAUUUUUAAAAUUAAUUUUUUAUUUGUAAAUACUAAGGGAUAAAUCUAUUGAAGUUUUUAAAAUUUGAACUGAAAUGUCAAAAUUUGUAAACAUUGAAGGCUAAAUUUGUUUAUUUUUUCUAUUUAAGACCAAUCUGAUAGAAUGUGUACACAUUAGAAGACUAAAUUUAUUAUUAGACCAAUAAAAAAAUGCCCAACUUAACGCUUUCUCAAAUUUCAAACCGAUGUUAAUAUUCAAUGACCAAAAUUUUUUAUUUCAAAUAGUUUAGUGACCAGAAUAGAAAAAAAAUUAAAAGUUUGAUGACCAAAAUAGAACGCGGAUAAUAAUUUAAUGAUAUUUUUAUACUUUAUCUGUUUUUUAUGAUUAUUUAUACAUAUCAAGUGGAGCUAAUUUAGGGAAAAGAAUCAAUGGUUAAGGUUGUUGUUGAUACUUAAUGAUCAGGGUCCAAAUUUUGCUAAUGUAAUUUUCCUUAUCAUAAUUUGUAUCUUAAUUUUGUUACCAAAAAAAUAUUAGUAAUAAAUAAUAUAUGCUCGAGAAAUGUACGUAUGAUUGAUUUAAACAAUACAUGUUGGAGUAAUUUACAUAUGGAUUUAAAAUAAAUUUUAAAAAUAAAAUAAAAUUUUAAAAAUCCAAAAGUAUUUUUUCUUUUAAAAAAAUUUAAAAAUAAUUUUUAAAUUAUUUACAUGAUUGAUUUAAAGGAUUUCUUUCUAUUAAUUAUUUUUAUAUUAAAUUUAUUUUCCUUUAUGUAUAACAUUUAAAGGGUUUGUAUAUAUGCUAACUCGCGAGUCAAUUAAAAUUUGUAUUAUAUUCAUUGAAUUUUUUUAAAAUAUAUAUUUUAUUAAUUUAUUUAUUUAUUUGAGACCCAUGAUAAACUUGUAUUUAAAGUUAUUGGUGCACACUAUAAAUUCAUAUAUUGAAAAUGAUAGGUGCUAAAAGUAACAUGUUUUAGUCUCAUUCUUAAUGUGUUUUUGGAUGAUUAUUCGAUAUAAAAUGGUUAAUUUUAUGCUACUAAACUUUUCAAUUUACGUUCUACACUUAAUAGAGCAUUUAGGAGCAAAAGAAGCGAAAAACGAGCGAAAAUAAAAAAAAUAGGAGCAAGUCUCAAAAGCCACACAGGCUGAGCCAUUCCACACGGGUUGGACACAUAACCGAGUGAGCCACACGACCAUGUGCUAGACUGUGUGGAAAUCGCAAAUUACACUCCAAACGGCGUGAAAACACGUUAAUUUUAAGGUUUUUUAAGCAUUUUAAUACCUAUACAUGACAAAGAUAAGAAGAGGGGAGAGAGUCGUCAGAAAAUAUUAAAGAAAACAACUUAAAAAACACCAUUGAAGCUAACUUUGAAGCAAAUUUUCAUCAAGAUUGAAGAUCUCAUUUUGAUUUUUUUGAAGUUUAUUAUGAGUUUCUUUAUUUAUUGUAGUUAUACUGUCUUUAGGAUGUUUUUAUUUGCUAUCAUGAACGAAUUUUCUAAAUACCUAGGGAGAUGAAUCCUAUCAUGAAUUAUGUUAUUUGAUUUCUAUUUUUACGUAAUAAAGACUUAGAUCUUAUUCUCAAUUAUGUGUGCUUAAUUCUUGGUUUAAUAUUUCUAGACUAUUAAUCAAUGUUUGAUGUGCUUAAAUCAGAGGAGGAAUAAACCCUAUUUAAGAGUAGAUCUAGCGUAAAUGAGUGGAGUUGCAUGCAAUCCUAGAAAUAGGACAACAUAAAUCUACCGUAAUAGAUCCAAAUCUAAUAGGGGAAUCUAUAGAUCGAGUUAAUACGAUGAUAGAGGUUUUAAUUAGAAAUAAAUUUCAGUUAAUUAACCUAGAGUCAGUUACUCUUAGUCUUGAAGAGAUAUAUUAGCAUAAUUUAGGGAUUUUUACAGAUCAAUAUUCUAAGUGACGAAGUUGUGUAAUAUAGAUUGAUAAUGACAUAUGAAGUCUAGGUAGAUUCUUUCCUAGGUAUUGUCUCGCUCUUGGUUAUUAUUUGAUUAUUUUCUUGAUUUGUGCUUUGUUGUGUUAUUUAGUUAACUAAUUUAGUUAAUUUUAGUUCCAACCAAUCACUCCAAUUUAUCAGUUAAAUAAUAGAAAAGACGGUAAUUACUGGUACUUUUAGUCUUUGUGAAAACGAUAUCUUUGCUCACUAUAACUAUACUAUUAAUUGAUGUGCACUUGUCUGAGUUAGAUUUUUAGUUGGUUUACGACUGCAAUCAAAAAACUCAUUAAGUUAGCACAAACUAAGUUAAUUAUUCGUUGGUUGCUUUAUUUUUUUUCCUGAAGUUUCGAUUUCAUCUUUCAUUAUGUACAACAAUUUUGGUAUAAAAAUAUCAAAUUCUCGACACUUAAUAUAUACCUUUGAAAUAUAAACACAUGCAUCAAUUUUUUUAGGUUCCUCACAACUUACUUGUCCAAAAUUCUUGUAUCUUUCAGUUCUCCUGAUUGAAUCAAAAUUUGACUUUGUAAUUAUUUUUUAAGGACCUCAAACUAUCAAUUUAUAGUAUAAAUUUUCAAUAGCUUUCAUUCUUUACAAAUUGGUCCCUAAUUAAUCAACAAUGGUAUUAAAGCUUAAGCUUAGGGUCCCGUUGUUUCACUGAAAAUGGCUUUCGAAAAAUAAUUUCUAGAAAAUGACUUACUUUCCUAGAAAAGUUAAUAUUUUCUGAUGUUUGGAUGAAUCAGUGUAAAAUAUUUUAUAUUGUUUGACAAAUUUCUUAAAAAUAUUUCAUAAAAGCUGUUUUCAAUGAAACAAACAUGCAUUUGAGAUUUUCUUAUCUUUUCAUUGUUUAAUUAAGUUUAUCUUAUAUCUAUAAAUUUAUAUUUUACAUUUUUUUGCAUAUAAUAAAAAUAUAUAUUUUUUAAUUCAGGUUCACUACCAUGUCACUUUUUAGUUACAUGACUACCAAGUGAGUAUUUUUUUUAUUUAAAAAUGUGACAUCAACAAAAUUGACAAAAAAAAAAUUUAGCAAUGUCAACAAUUGGACUUGAUUUUCAAAUCUGAAAAGUAGAGGGACUAAAUUCUUGAAAAUAAAAGUAUAGAGACUAAAUUGAAAAUUUGUGAAGAAUACAUAGACUUAUCACAUUUUUUAACUUUUAUACUACAAAAUAUUUAUCAUUAAUAUAUUUAUAAUUAUAAUAAAUAUUUAUUAUUAAAAUAUUAAUAUUAAAUAUUUUCAAUAAGAAGAAUAUUAUUUAAAAUUAUUUUUUUUAAUUUUUUAUUAAAAUAAAAUUGAAAUAUUAAAUAAUUUAUUAAAAUAAUUAAUUUUAUUAAUAAUUAAUUUUAUGACUAAAUAUAAAUAAUUAAAUAUGUGUGUUUAAUAAUAUUGAAAUAUAUAAUAUUUUAUAUUAAUAUUUUAAAUAUUUUUAAAAAUAAAAAUAAAAUUUAUUUUCAAUAUAAUAAUAUUAAUAUUGAUUUAAAUGAAUUUUUAUAUAAAAAUAAAAUUACCUAUAGAUGAGCUCUUUUCCAGAAAAUGACUUACACUUUUCAAAAGGAUAAGUCAUUUUAUAGGAAAAAGAGUUCAAUUUUACAUUGACCUGUAAGUCAUUUUCCGAUGACCAAAAUGUUUUCUGUAAAAUAAACAUAAGAAAAUGAAGAAAAUAUUUUCCGUAAAACCUUUUACAUGUAAACAAACGGACCCUUAAUUCAAGCUUGUUCUAACAUAACCCACUUCACUAUUAGCAUGACUCUUCCUUAUACUAUGUUUAACCAUUAACCCUUCUCAUGAUUUCUAACAAAAAUUCUCUAAGUUCUCUUUAAUGGAAACUUCUAUUAGCUUCAACAAUAAGAAAUUCUAACCAUUGGGUUGGUUGUAUCAAGUUUCAUAGUUUAAAAAACUAUAAAAAAAUUAUUUAGAAAACAAUUUGUUUACCUUUGAUGGCCUUGAUGGAGAACAACUUGGUUUCUUCUUCUACUUAGUUUAAAGAAUGCAUGAAGAAGAAGAAGAUUUCCCCUCUCCCUCUAUCUUAAAUAUAUAUAUAAAUAACCUAUUAAUCAAGGUAAUUAACUCACUAAUUAAUCUUAAUUAGUUAUGAUCUAAUGGCCAUAAACUUACCAUAAGAAAAUUAGUGGAAAUGUGUGGCAUUGAUAAUGGUUUGCCAAUAAUCAAACUUCGGGCAUGGUAAUAUUGCAAUCAGGUCCUUGGUUUAAUUACACUUUAAGUACUUGCUAAAUUCUCUAAUCAAUUCCCACUAGUUGGAUCACUUGAACAAUUGGGUCCAUGUAUUAUAGUUACAACUUAUCUAAUUUAAUCAAUUAAUGAUUUGACUUUAUAAUUUCAUGUGCAACACACAAACUCCUCCGGUAAAUUCUCAAGCUAGCUUUAUUUAAAAAUUUGGCCUCAAAACCAGCUUUCCAAAUGUUCAUGAAAAUUGAGUUGUUACAUUAUGGUAUUUGUUUUGUUCAGCUUAUUUGUCAAGCUCUAUUCCUUUGAACUUAUGUUCGUUGACUUUGGUGUUGCUUAAAUGAAAAUGUGGUGAACAAUAUUAUGGAUAGGAGGAGUGUAUGAUUGAGUAUGUGUAACACCCCUAACCCACAUCCUUCGCCAAAUUAAAGUGACAGAGUGUUAUUAUUCAAAACAGAACAUUCCAUGACAACACAUAAACAAUUAUGCAAAUUAUCACAAUCAUUAAUUAACCAUAUUAAAAUAUAACAUAAGUAUCCAUACGACCUUUAAAUCGAGCUUAUAUGGCCUUAAAAAUAGCUUGGGAUCAAUCUAGGAUCAAUUUGGAACAUAACAUAAAUUUUAAGAAAAAUCUAAAAAUUUUGGGAAACAUGGGUCACACAACCGUAUGUCCAGGCCGUGUGACAUAGCCCAGACCUUGUGGGAAUUCAAAAUCAGGACACUCAAUCAUGUCCUAGCCCGUAUGUCUACCUGUGUGAAUAUUUGAAAUAGGGUCCCACAGUCGUGUCGCGGCCAUGUGCUAAACCGUGUAUAUAUUCAAAUUAUGAACACAUGGCCGUGUCGCAAGCCAUGUGCUAGACCGUGCUCAAAACUAUUUUGAGACACACAGCUGUGCCUUAGGCUGUGUGAAAUUUUCACUUUAGACAACGACACACAGCCGUGUGCCAGACCAUGUACACCAAAAUGUACCUUAAAAAUCAAAUUUACCAAAACAUGUUUACUUAGGCAUCAAGCAACCUAAUUACCAUCAAUCAAACUCAUUCAAAACACAAUUAAACAGGUUCAAAACAUCCAUCCUAAGUGCCUAGCCAUUGUGCCCUCAUUGACAUCAUAAUUCAAUAAUCAAAUCAAUCACAUUUAAACCAAGAUUUAAACAUUCAAAUUAUAAAAUCAUCAUUAACCAUUCAUACCAAAACACUGAUCAUUUCAAGUCAUAAACACCUAGCAAUAUUCACAUACUUUAUAAAGCUUAACUACCAAUACCAAAUAAGAUCCAUACACACAUACAUACCAAACAAAACACAUAUUCACAAGUAUCAUUCAAGAUUUACAACUUUACAUGUAAUUAACAUAAUUUCAAGUCAAUUAUUACAUGUCAUACAACCCAAAACAAACACUAAACAAACUACCAAUAGUUUCUCGAAUAGUGUGAUUCUUGAAAUCAAAUUGAUCACCCGAAGCGUCAAAAAUAAAUCUACAAGAAAGCAUUGGAAGAGACACAAGAGUAAGCUUACUUAAGCUUAGUAAUUUCCAUGGAUUUAAACAAUCAACUUACCGGAUAAACUUAUCUAAUAUAGAGUAUAGAAAAGUCAUAAAUCAUAAUCAUGUCAUCCAUAAUCAGAUCACGAGUGAGUCUUAAACUUAAAUAUGAAUGAAUUAAUUCAAUCAAUUACAUUAUAUCACUAAAUUAUACCCGAUGAACGUUGCAAUGGAUUUGGAUACACAGUUAACCAACCAAACACUCCAAAUCACUCAAAUGAGCUAGCCAUCUGAAAGUACACAUGGGCACCAAGUGCCAAGCCCAUAGGCUAACAUCCCUCCGAAACACACCUUGUCACCAAGUGCCAAGCCCGUAAGCUUUACAUCUGCCCCAGAAACACACCUGAAGCACUGCAAUAUAACGUAAUAGUUCGCAACAAAUGUUGAACUUCAAUAUAUUCAAUAAACAUGAAUAAGAUCAGAAUCAUCAUCUCCACAUCCACCAAUCUCGUAAAGCGCACGAUAUAACUUAUUGACAUGCCAAUUGUAUCCUAUCAUACAUUCAUCGGCUCACAUAUUUGUCAUUUAACAACAUUUAAUACAAUUUCUUUCCCAAAUCAUUUCACUUACCACAAUUCAAUACUUCCAUGUCAUUUAAUAAUUUCAAUCCACAAGUAAUUAAAUAUUUAAAUUAUACUAAAAUUAAACUGUACAAACUCACUAGGGCCAAAUUGCAGAAACAACAAAAGUUCAGGGACUAAUCAACAACCUUCCCUUUUUCCACAAUUAUCAACUUGAUCUUGAUCUAUAAUAUAAUUUAUUUCAAUUAUUAGCCUCAAUUUUCAUAUUCUAAUCAUUUCAAAACAUAUGAUCUCUUAUUUAUAAAUUUACACAUUUAUCCCAAAUUUUUACAUAUUAUACAAUUUAAUCCCUAUGACCAAAUCAAGCUUAGUUCUACAAUUAAAUUCUCAAUCCAUAGAACUAAAUUUUAACCACAUCCAAAACAAUCCAUAUAUGCUAAAAUUUUCAAGAGUAACAUGUCUAUUUCAGUUAAAUCACUAAACAUCAAAUUUUGUAAAAAUCACUUACAAACUCAAUACAUAUGGUCACCAAGCUUCAACCCAAACUAUUUACUACUACAAAUCUUCGAAAAUUUCAAUACAUAAUUUCUAUACUUUGAUAACUUCACAAAUAAACUCCAAAACUAGCUAAAUUCCAUUAUCAAUAGCUCAAAACUUAAAAUUUGAUGAUGAAUAAACCAAGAAAAUACUUACAUGCAUUAAAAACUAACAAAAACCAAGAUCCAAGCCUUAGAACAAUGGUGUUUCGGCCAAACCUAAGAAAAAUAAAGAAGAUGACCACUACCCCACUUUUGUUUUACUUUCCUUUUAUUAUUAUAAUAAUCUUUAUUUAUGAAAUUAUAACAUUAUAAAACACCAAUUUAAUUUUUUUUCUCUCUUUACCGCCCAUAUUAACUAACUAUGGGCUAAUGGCAACAUAACCUCCCUUAGUUUACUAAUUUAAGCUAUUAUAUUAAAAUAAAUCUAUAAUAAGCAACUUUUCCACCUAUUACAUAUUAAUCUUUUUUCUUUAAUCAAUUCACUAUACGUUAAAUUUUCUAAACCAAAACUUAAUACGACACUGAUGACUUUGUAAAUAUUAAAUAAUUAAUAAUUCUAGACUGACACGUCGAAAGUGUAGUCCUAAAACUAUUAUUUUCGACACCACUGGAAAUCGAACUGUUAUAGUAUGAUUCUACCUCUUAGGGGGAGACGUAUUCUAGUUUCCUUUGACUUGUUUAGAUGAUGUGUUAAUCAUUUGCUACUGGUUUUGUCAAAAUGCCAAAUGGUGAGAUUGUUUCAAACUUUGUUCAUGUUCGAACAUUAGAUUAAACAAUGCUUAAUUUGAUGCAUUCAAAGAAUUUAUGUUGGCAUGUUUGACUUUAUAAUGAAAUGGCUUAUGAUUUAAUCUCGUUGAGUAGCAAAUGGGGAAGUGAUUUUGUGUUAUAACAUGUGAUGAUCAUUAUCUUUCAAUCAACUACCUUGAAGAAGAAUGGGAGGAGUUUGAACUUUUGUGGACUUUCGUAAUAUUUGAAGCUGCUAAGAUACUUGUUUAUAAAGACUUUUAUGAUAUAACUAAUCAAAAUAAUUCAUGUCAGAAUUUUUGGAGUUUUAAACUUAUGAAGACUCUAGUAUUGGCCUAUAAAUAGGCAUAAUUACCGCACAUUGAAAAUAGGCUUUUGGAGGGUUUAAGUUGGAUGCUUUGGUGAAUUUUUCCUGUGUUUUAUACAACACUCUUUUUUAAGUUUUUAUUGGGGGAUAUUUGCUUGAUUGUAAGUGAGAUAUUUUGGAGAGAGUGAUUUGUAAUAAUUUAGGUUCAAUAUUGAAGUUGCAAAUAACUACAAGGUAAUGGUAAUUUGGACUCUAGUCAAUAGUUAAUCAAGACGAAUUGUAAAUAAAAAUUAUUUUUUAAGUGAAACUUUACAGAAUAAAACUAGUGAACUCAAACUACGCUAACAAAUAUUAUAUACUAUCUUUCCUUACUUUACUCGUUGCUUUACCUUAUUUUAAAAUUGCUUUGUCAUAAAUGUAUUAUGUUUGACCCUUUCCGAUCGAAAUAAAAAAAUGAGAUUGAAAUUGUGAUAAAGCUAAAAAAAAGUUACAACAAAUAUGAUUAAUAUUAUUUUUAUAUAUACUUACUAAAAUUUAAAAAGGAAUUACAUUUAUCGAAUAUUAUUUUAUUUAAUAAAUAUAAUUAAUAUAUUUUAUAUAAAAUUUAAACUUUUUAUUAUUUGUUAGCUAAAUUUUAUUAUUUUUAUUUUCUUUAUGAAUAAAAUUAAUUUUCCUAAAAUUUGAGAUAAAAAAAUGUUAUAUAGAAAAUUAAAUUAGUAAAAAGUGCAGUUCAUACUUUAUAAUUAUUAUAAAUGAAAAAAUAUUAUAAAAGAUAAAUAUUAAACAUAAAAAAAUCAAUUCUAAAAUAAACUUAACUAUUAUAAUAAAAUAUUUUUAUAUAAAAAAGAAAUUAUAGAAAAGACUUACUGAUUAUAUUUCCAAUUUUCGACAUUCAUAAAAAAAAAGUGGUCCUAAUAAUUUAUUUAUACAAAAAAAAAAGUGGUCCUAUUAAUUAACCUCACAUUUGAAAUGUGUUAUAUGUAAUAAUAUUAAUAUCUUUAUCAAUUUUGGAGGUUCAUCCUUUCCCAUCUCUAUAAAUUCGCAUGGAGAAAUAAAGCAAUACAUCAACACAAUCUGUAUAACCAUGAAAACCACAACAGCUUCAGUGUUUCUUCUUUUCAUCAUCUUCUCAGUCACACCAUCAUCCUUUUUGUUUGGUGUAGCCAACGCUACAAACGAACCUGUACUCGACUUUGAUGGCAACGAGGUUCAAACAGGCACCCCAUAUUACGUUGUGUCGUACAUAUGGGGUGCUGGUGGUGGGGGGCUUGACCUAGGCAGGCCUAGUGGAAACCCAUGCCCGGAAGUCGUUGCUCAAAGAGGAUCCGGUGACAAUGGUAUUCCGGUGAUAUUUUCUAAUUCGGACUCCAACGAUGGCGUUGUUCGCCUAUCCUCUGACAUAAACAUAGAGUUCAUUUCCCUCAGACCCAAACUUUGCCGAACAACAACAGUGUGGAAGGUCGAUGAUUACGACCAUUCAGCCGGAAAAUGGUGGGUGAUAACCGAUGGGGUUAAAGGGAACCCAGGUGCCAACACUUUGACCAGUUGGUUUAGAAUAGAGAAGGUGGGUACUGAUUUUCAAUAUUACACAUUUAAGUACUGCCCCGCAGUAUGUGGAACAUGCCCAGCCUUAUGCAACCAAAUUGUGAGAGACUUUGAUGGAGAAAUGGUACGUUUGGCUCUCACCACUGGCCAUGGAUGGCCAUUUAUCUUUAAGAAAGUUGGAAAAUCAGCCAUGGAGAUUGAACAAGUUGUUCAUAAUUAGAUUGAAAGCAAUCAUUAUGCAUGAACUAGUAGUUACUACAUAAUAUUAGCUUCAAGUAAAUAAUGCUGAGGGAACUUAUUGUUAAGAUUGCCUUGUUUGAAGCGGCAGCAUGUAUAUAUAUAUGCUUGCUUACAAGGUUUGUCUCUCAGAGUCCUCCUCUUUGUACUCUUUUCAGCUUAAUGAAUAAACUGUUUACUUAUUUACUUCUUUUGUUGCCAUUGAUUCUAGUAGCAUUCGACUCAUUAACUUGGAUACAUUACCUUGUAAUUAACCAAAAAGUUAUGUGUAUAUAUAUAAAGAGUGUGUGAGAGAAAAAAUAGAAUACCAAGUACCAAGUGAAAAAUGUUAAUACUAGGAUUAUUCAAAGCGAUUUCAAUGAACAGAAAUGGAAUAGUCGUCGGGUGGUUAGGGCAUUUUAUCUUUAGAGAUAAAGAAGGUUGGUUCAUGUUCGGAGUUUGUGGCUACUCCUUCAAUAAUAUCGUUUUUAAAGUUUAAACUUGUAUCACAUUUUAAACACGUAAUGUAUCUUACCAUUACAUCCAACAAUAUUAACCAUUUACUCUAUUGUAUUGUAUUGUAUUCUAUUAUUAAUUAAUGAUUAUGAUAUGUAUUAAGUUUAAGAUGAAUUUUCUCAGUAAUAUAUAUCAAUGGAAUCAAAUAUUUGUAUUUAAAGUUUUAACUCCACAUUAACUUUUUCUUUAUUUUGUCCGUUUGCUGGCGAUGAUUAGGAGAUUAAUGGUUGGUAUUUGUGGUUAGUAGGUUAUAACUCAAUAGUGAACUCGAGGGUUGAUAGUGGCCCGACUCCACUUAAAUAAAAAAUUUUACAUUUAAAUCUCUUUAUAAUUUAUAAAAUUUUAAAUUAAUAAUAAAAAAAUUAUAUUUUAACUCUCUAAAAUUAAUAAAAAUGAUAAAAAUGUAGAAGUAAAUUUAUACAAUUAAUGAUAAUAAUGAUAAGAAGUUGUUUCCUGUCACAUGGAAAUUUAUGGCAUCGUCCAUUUGGUUUUAUAUUUGUCCAUUUGCUUGGUUAAGAGUUGAAAGACAAACUAUAAUUAAGUAUACAAAACCAAACGAAUUUCAAGGGUUUUCUCUUCAAUUAUUGUCGAAUUUAGCUAAUUAUUAGUAAUUUUUAUUAUUUAAUUAUAAAAAUUAUAAAAUAAUGACUUAAUUAUAAGAAUUAUAAAAUAGUGACUUAAUUAUAAAAAUAUAUAUAAAUAGCCAUCUAAUUAUUUAAUUUUUUUUCUUUUUUAUCAUCACCGGAUUAAUGGUGGUAAUUUUUAUAAUUGACAUAAUAGUAACUUUAACCAUUAAUAAUUAUACAUUAUGUCAAUUUAGUCUUGAUUCUAAAAAAUUUAACCUUUGACAUUUACACAUAUAUAAUUUGACAUUUUUAUAAUUUUAUUUUUUACUAAAAAUAAAUCAUGAAAAUAAUAAAAUAUGCAUAAAAAUAAAAAUACAGCUACCGAGUAUAUGUCUUAAUGUAGAUUUAUAACAAUUAUCUUUUCAUAAAGAUAUUUUAUUAUAAAAUAUAUAAUAAGCACUUCCCUGUAACAAAUAAAAUUGUAGUAAACAAAUGAAAUUAUUAUAAAGAAGAAUUUUCUAUUUUCAUAAUAAUAAUAAUAAUAAUAAUAAUAAAAGAAAAGAAAAAAGUGGUUCUAUUAAUUCACCUCACAUUUGAAAUGUGUUAUAUGUAAUAAUAUUAAUGUCUUUAUCAAUUUUGGUGGUUCAUCCUUUCCCAUCUCUAUAAACACUACACCAGAAUAGGUUUUUAGCGGCGUUUUUUAGGCCUUUAGCGACGCUUAUUAACGCCACUAAAUCUAUUUCCGGCACUUACAAAAAAAAGCCGCUAAAGAUCAUGUUCUUUAGCGGCGCUUAGGAAAAAACGCCGCAAAAAAUCAUGUUCUUUAGCGGCGCUUAGAAAAAAACGCCGCUAAAGAUCAUGUUCUUUAACGGCGCUUAGAAAAAAACGCCGCUAAAGAUCAUGUUCUUUAGCGGCGCUUUGGAAGAAAACACCUCUAAAAGUAAUGUUCUAUAGCGGCGCUUGUUCAAAAACGCCGCUAAAAGUAGUGUUCUUUAGCGUCGCUUGUUUCACAAACGCCACUGUUUUGAUAUGACUUUUAGCGGCGCUUUUUUAAAAAAUGUCACUAAUUUUGGGAUUUUUUUAAAAUAAAAUUUUCUGUUUUUUUCAGCCCUCCUGCAACAACAAAUCAAAAGCAACCAGAUCUAAACUAACCAAAAAUAAUAAAUUUAUAUAAUAUUUCAAAUUAAAUGAAUAAAAUAAUAUUAAUUGAUAUAAAUAAAAGUGAAUUUCAGACUUUUCUUUACAAAAACGUUAAAAGUAUUUAUGCAACAUACACUAUGACGGCGGAAGUUGCGACUGCUGAAACAUCUUCAUCAUAAUCUAAAGCUGCUGUUGAAGUUCGUCGUACUUUUUGCUCUACUUUGCUUCUCUCGAUGCCGCAUCUUUUUGAAGCCGUAGCUGUAGUUCUUCACAUUUCUUUUGAACCUCUGCUUCUAUCGCUGCUUAUCUCGCUACGGCAUCUGCUUCCCUCACUGCUGCCUCUGAUUUAAGUUGUUGCUGAAGUUCUUCAUAUUUCCUUUGAACCUCAAAUGUGGUCGCUUGCAUCUGAGUCAUCUAGUCUUUUAACCUCUGAACUUCAGCUUGAGACUGACUCCCCGAAGCCAUGUAUUGGUGCGAGCUGGAUCCAAAAUAUUGGGUUGGGCUGAUAAAAGAUCCUUGAAAUCGAACCCGACCAUACUUUUCAGGACCCAAAACUUUAGUAAUAAUCCGGUUAUCAAUGUCUUCAAGAUGAAUAGAACUAUCACUAGAAGCAAUCGUUUCGUACUCUGUCUUUUUUUCCUUCAGUUUUUCCUAAUAAAUAAAUCACAUAGUUAGGAACGCAAUAUAUAGUAAAAAAAACAAAUGCAAUAUAACAAUAGUCGCAUUACAAGCAAUGAAUUAAACCAUUAGAAAAUAAACACUAUAAAUAACUAAAACAAGUGAAAUCGUAUUAAGUAAACGUACCAUAAUUUCACCAGCUUCAGGAGUCAUAGCAGAUCCAUCUUUCUUCUUAUGUGUAAUUUCAAAAAGUUGAAGGCGUCCAACUUUUUGAUCGGACGACCGUUCCUACAACACUCUUUUUUAAGUUUUUAUUGGGGGAUAUUUGCUUGAUGUAAGUGAGAUAUUUUGGAGAGAGUGAUUUGUAAUAAUUUAGGUUCAAUAUUGAAGUUGCAAAUAACUAUAAGGUAAUGGUAAUUUAGACUUUAGUCAAUAGUUAAUCAAGACGAAUUGUAAAUAAAAAUUAUUUUUUAAGCGAAACUCUACAGAAUAAAACUAGUGAACUCAAACUACUGAACUCAAACUACGCUAACAAAUAUUACAUAUUAUCUUUCCUUACUUUACUUGUUGCUUUACCUUAUUUUAAAAUUGUUUUGUCAUAAAUGUAUUAUGUUUGAACCUUUCCGAUCGAAAUAAAAAAAAUGAGAUUGAAAUUGUGAUAAAGCUAAAAAAAGGUUACAACAAAUAUGAUUAAUAUUAUUUUUAUAUAUACUUAAUAAAAGUUAAAAAGGGAAUUACAUUUAUUGAAUAUUAUUUUAUUUAAUAAAAUAUAAUUACUAUAUUUUAUAUAAAAUUUAAAUAUUUUAUUGUUUGUUAGUUAAAUUUUAUUUUUUUUUAUUUUCUUUAUGAAUAAAAUUAAUUUUCCUAAAAUUUGAGAUAAAAAAUGUUAUAUAGAAAAUUAAAUUAGUAAAAAGUUAAAAAAAUCAAUUCUAAAAUAAACUUAACUAUUAUAAUAAAAUAUUUUUAUAUAAAAAAAAAGAAAUUAUAGAAAAGACUUAUUGAAUAUAUUUCCUAUUUUCGACAUUCAUAAAAAAAAAAAAGUGGUCCUAAUAAUUUUUUUAUACAAAACAAAAAAAAGUGGUCCUAUUAAUUUACCUCACAUUUGAAAUGUGUUAUAUGUAAUAAUAUUAAUAUCUUUAUCAAUUUUGGAGGUUCAUCCUUUCCCAUCUCUAUAAAUUUGCAUGCAGAACUAAAGCAACACAUAUCAACACAAUCUGUAUAACCAUGAAAACCACAACAGCUUCGGUGUUUCUUCUUUUCAUCAUCUUCUCAAUCACACCAUUGUCCUUUUCGUUUGGUGUGGCCAACACUUCAAACGCUCCUGUGCUCGACAGUGAUGGCAACGAGCUCCGCACAGGCACCCCAUACUUCGUUGUGUCGUCGAUAUGGGGUGCUGGUGGUGGGGGGCUUGCCCUAGGCAUGCCUAGAGGAAAGCCAUGCCCGGAAGUCGUUGCUCAAAGAGGAUCUGGUGACGAUGGUAUUCCGGUGAUAUUUUCUAAUUCGGACUCCAACGAUGGCGUUGUUCGCCUAUCCUCUGACAUAAACAUAGAGUUCAUUCCCCUCAGACCCAGAUUUUGCCAAACAACAACGGUGUGGAAGGUCGAUGAUUACGACCACUCAGCCGGAAAAUGGUGGGUGAUAACCGAUGGGGUUAAAGGGAACCCAGGUGCCAACACUUUGACCAGUUGGUUUAGAAUAGAGAAGGCGAGUCAUCUUGAUUACACAUUUAAGUACUGCCCCGCAGUAUGUGGAACAUGCCCGGCUUUAUGCAACAAAAUUGCGAGAGACUUAGAUGGAGAAAUGAUGCGUUUGGCUCUCUCCACUGACCAUGGAUGGCCAUUUUUCUUUAAGAAACUUCAAACAUCAGCCAUGGAGAUUGAACAAGUUGUUCAUAAUUAGAUUGAAAGCAAUCAUUAUGCAUGAACUAGUAGUUACUAUACAAUAUUAGCUUCAAGUAAAUAAUGCUGAGAGAACUGAUUGUUAAGAUUGCCUUGUUUGAAGCAGAAGCAUGCAUAUAUAUAUGCUUGCCUACAAGGUUUGUCUCUCAGAAUCCUCUUUGUACUCUUUUCAGCUUAAUAUAUAAACUGUCUACUUAUUUACUUCUUUUAUUAAUGUCAUUGAUUCUAGUAGUAUUAGACUCAUUAACUUGGAUACAUUGUCUUGUAAUUAACCCAAAAAUUAUAUAUAUAUCAAAAAAAAAAAUGAGAGUGAGAGAGGAAAAUAGACUACCAAGUAACAAGUGAAAAAUGGUAAUACUAGGGUUAUUUAGAGUGGUUUCAAUGCACAACCGGAAUGAAUUGUUACCUUAUCUUUAGAGUCAAAGAAGGGUUCGUGACUAGUCUUUCAACAAUACUAUUUUCAAGGUUCAAACCUGCAUUAUCCUUUAAAUACGUAAUGUAUUUUAUCAUUACGCUCAAUAUUAUUAGUGAUUUACUUUAUUCUAUUCUUAAUUAAUAAUUAUGAUAUAUAUAAAGUUUAAGAUGGAUUUUCUUAUUUAUGUAUAUCAAUUAAAUCAAAUAUUUGUAUUUAAAGUUUUAACCCAACAUUAACUUUUUUUUUAAAAAUUUCUUCGUUUGUUGGUGGUGAUUAGGAGAUUGAUGGCCGGUCUUUGUGAUUGGUAGCUUUUAACACAAUGGCGAAGCUAAGGAGGCUUUAAAUGUUUAAAUGAAUAUUUUUUUCAAUUGAAAUUUCUUUAUAAUUUAUAAAAUUUUAAAUUAAUAAUGAUAAAAUUACAUUUUAAUUUUUUAAAAAUGAUAAAAACGUGGAAGCACAUUUGUACGAUUAAUAAUAAUGAUAAUAUUUUUCCUACCACAUGGAAGUUUAUGGAAACACCAUUGGGUUUUGUAUUUAUGUUUUAUUCGACACUCUUAUAAGUUUUACUGGGGAGAUUUGUUUGAUUGUAAGUGAGGUAUUUUGCGGAGAGUGAUUUAUAAUAAUUUAAAAUUAAUAUUGGGGUUACAAAUAACUAUGGGAGUAAAGUAGUUUAGACUUUAGCUAAUAAUUGAUCAAGAUGGAUUGUAGAAUAAAAUCAUUUUCGAAGCAAAAUUUUAUAAAAUUAGUAAAUCUGAAUUAUUCUAUAAUAUUGAUAUUAUCUUUCUUCACUUUAGCCCUUGCUUCACCUUAUCUCAAAAUUAUUCUAUAAUAAUCUAUUUUGUCUCAACCUUUUCAACAGAAUUUAAAAUGAAACUAUUUCUAUGAAGUGCAAACCAAAAACUUUUUCACAUACCAAUAAAUGGCAAGCAACCAUACCGUGGGCCCAAUGUCCCAACAAUCAUCUAAACAUUUUUUUUUUCUUUUUUAAAUAAUAUGUAAUAAUUUAUAUACCAUAAAUGAAUAUUAAUUAAAAUAAUAUAAACAAAAUACGACUCUUUAAUAUAAUAUGGAUCCAAAAUGUUUCAUAUUUGAAAUGCAGUUUUUGAUAAUUUCACAUUUCAUAUUUUAUCUUAGAACAAAAAGAAAAUUUGAACUUAAUAUUUGGACUAUUGAUCAAUGGUGUUUAUUAUAUUUCAAGACUAUCAGAUUAAUCUGUCGAUACUACUUAUAUGGUAUGGUUUAAAUGGGUGUGUGUGGAUAUAGAAAUUUGAAAUUCUAUUGUAUCAAAGAAAUUUUUUUUAAAAAUAAAAUAAAAAGGAAUUUGAAAUUUAAAAUUUGAGAUCAAAAUAAAAAAAAUGAGACUUGUUAUAAACCAUAAGGCUCAAAAAAGGUUACAACAAAUAUGGUUAAUAUUAUUUUUAUAUAUACUUAAUAAAAGUUUAAAAUAUCAAAUUUGUAAUAUUAUUUUUAUUUAAUAAAAUAUAAUUAAUAUAUUUUAUAUAAAAUUUAAAUAUUUUAUUGAAAUAUUAUGUUAGGUAAAUUUUAUUAAUUUUAUUUUCUUUAUAAAUAAAAUUAAUUUUAUUAAAAUUUGAGAUAAGAUAAUUAAAUUAAUAAAAGGUAUACUUCAUAUUUUAUAGUUAUUAUAAAUAAAAAAUUAUUAUAAAAAUUAAAAAAAAAGAAUUCUACAACAUAAUGAAAUAUUUUUAUUAAAAAAAACAGAAAUGAUUGAUGGAAUAUAUUUCCAAUUUUCGACGUUCAUUAAAAAAAAAAGAGUGGUCCUAAUAAUUGAUUUAUUGGGGAAAAAAAAGUGGUCCUACUAAUUUACCUCACAUUUGAAAUGUGUUAUAUGUAAUAAUAUUAAUAUCUUUAUCAAUUUUGGAGGUUCAUCCUUUCCCAUCUCUAUAAAUUCGCAUCGAGAAAUAAAGCAAUACAUCAACGCAAUCUGUAUAACCAUGAAAACCACAACAGCUUCAGUGUUUCUUCUUUUCAUCAUCUUCUCAGUCACACCAUCAUCUUUUUUGUUUGGUGUAGCCAACGCUACAAACGAACCUGUACUCGACAUUGAUGGCAACGAGGUUCAAACAGGCACCCCAUAUUACGUUGUGUCGUCCAUAUGGGGUGCUGGUGGUGGGGGGCUUGCCCUAGGCAGGCCUAGCGGAAACCCAUGCCCGGAAGUCGUUGCUCAAAGACGAUCCGGUGACGAUGGUAUUCCGGUGAUAUUUUCUAAUUCGGACUCCAACGAUGGCGUUGUUCGCCUAUCCUCUGACAUAAACAUAGAGUUCAUUCCCCUCAGACCCAAACUUUGCCGAACAACAACGGUGUGGAAGGUCGAUGAUUACGACCAUUCAGCCGGAAAAUGGUGGGUGAUAACGGAUGGGGUUAAAGGGAACCCGGGUGCCAACACUUUGACCAGUUGGUUUAGGAUAGAGAAGGCGGGUGAUCUUGAUUACACAUUUAAGUACUGCCCUGCAGUAUGUGGAACAUGCCCAGCUUUAUGCAACAAAAUUACGAGAGACUCAGAUGGAGAAAUGGUACGUUUGGCUCUCUCCACUGGCAAUGGAUGGCCAUUUUACUUUAAGAAAGUUGGAAAAUCAGCCAUGGAGAUUCAACAAGUUGCUCGUAAUUAGAUUGAAAGCAAUCAUUAUGCAUGAACUAGUAGUUACUACAUAAUAUUAGCUUCAAGUAAAUAAUGCUGAGAGAACUUAUUGUUAAGAUUGCCUUGUUUGAAGCGGCAGCAUGUAUAUAUAUAUAUGCUUGCUUACAAGGUUAAUUUGUCUCUCAGAGUCCUCUUUGUACUCUUUUCAGCUUAAUGAAUAAACUGUUUACUUAUUUACUUCUUUUGUUGCCAUUGAUUCUAGUAGCAUUCGACUCAUUAACUUGGAUACAUUACCUUGUAAUUAACCAAAAAGUUAUGUAUAUAUAUAUAUAUAUCAAAACAAAACAAAAAAGAGAGUGAGAGAGGAAAAUAGACUACCAAGUACCAAGUGAAAAAUGGUAAUACUAAAUUUCCAGAUAUAUGGCAUUGUUUGUGUGUGACAAACACCAAGUAUAAAUAGGUGGAAGUAUGACUACUUAUCAAGAGUGGUAUGGUUCAAAAACUACCCCUAUCGAAUUAUUUCAUCCUACUCAUUCGUUAUCGAUAGGAAGAAGGAUACUUCCAACAAGAAAUAUUUUGAAGGGUUAGUGUUGAGUUAGCUAAAAAUCAAAGUUUAUCAGAAGCUCGAUCUAAAAUUCGCCAAAAGGAGGAUUAUUCAAAGCGAUUUCAAUAGACAACGGGAAUGGAAUAGUCUUUGAGUGGUUAGGGCACCUUAUCUUUUGAGAUAAAGAAGGGUUGGUCCAUGUUUGCAGUUCGUGACUAAUCCUUACAACAAUGUCGUUUUCAAGGAUUGAACAUGUGUCAUCCUUUGAACAUGUAAUGUGUCUUACAAUUACACCUAACAUUGUUGGUGAUUUACUUUAUUAUAUUCUUAAUUAAUAAUUAUGAUAUAUAGUAUGUUUAAGAUGCAUUUUCUUAUUCAUGUAUAUCAAUUGAAUCAAAUAUUUGUAUUUAAAAUUUUAACUCGACAUAUCGAAGGUCUGCUACUCUAGCACGUCUUUGGUCUGCUGCUCUAGCAUGUUUUGGUUUUUUUAGGGUUUUUUUGGCUUAUUUCUCUUUGUUCUAGCGAUGACAGUUCUUGGGAUAGAGUAUUUCUUUUCAAUCUGGUUGAUUUUGAUUCGUGGCAAUGGAGGAUGAAUUGGCAGAGUUAACAUUGGAAGAUGAGGAAUAGGAGAUUUUGCAAGUACAGAAGGAAACUGAUUCUGCGACAGUGGUUUAAGAUCUUUGUCUGGUUGGAUACUUUCUCACAACGAGUGUAAUCCACUUUAUGACAAUGAGAAGCGCGAUGGCAAAUCUAUGGCAUCCUCUUAGAGGAGUUCAGAUCUCUAAUUUGGGGGAUAAGAAAUUAUUUCAAUUUUUUCAUAAAAUGGAUAUUGAUAGGGUACUAAAUGGGGAUCCAUGGACUUUCAAUAAUCAUCUUUUGGUGAUUCAUUUUUUGGAGGAUGGUGAGGAUCCGAUGAAGGUACCGCUAAUCUAUACGACUUUUAAGGUGCAAGUGCAUGAUUUACCCCCAGGGUUUUUUACUGAAUCUAUAGCAAAGAAGUUAGGCAAUUUUAAGGGUAAGUUUUUUGGAUCAAUGGAAAAAGCUUGGGUAAGGGCCUCAGGAAUUUCUUACAUAUACGGGUUUAGAUGGAUGUUAGAUGCUAUUUGAAGCGAAAAAAGAAGAUUAUGUUUUCACUUGGCAAGUGUUCCUAUGUCAACUUGAUAUACGAAUGACUAACUCUAUUCUAUUUUGUCUAUGGUUGUUUGGUAGACAAUGACUCUUUCUGUCAAGUUAGAAUGGCUAAAGGCUUAGAAGUUGUAGAGAUGGGAUGGUAUCUGUCUCUAAAAGCCCAGUCUAGGAGAGCUACUACGAUGAACAGCGUGUGGCUGCGGGAGGAAGGUAAAGGUGAGAUAAAGGGAAAUACCAUAGGACAUUUUGAUUUAGGGUAGGGAUUGUGGAAGGAUGGAAGGAAAGAAUCUAGGAUGCCCAUAGAUCUGUGUUGGGGUUAAAUUUGGAGGGUGGUUUGAAGUUAGUGUCGGGUAUGCAAGGGAACUCUUCAACGAUACAAGAUCAUUCGAAUAUGGAUCACGACUCAGAGGAAUGCGCUAUAAAAGGUAAAGAUGGGAAAAAAAGACCCAAAAAGGAUAAUGGAAAUCAUAGUGUUUCGAUUGUGACAGAUUCACUUGUGAUUAGAGAUGAGAGAUUGUUGGGACGAACUCACUUUUUAUCGGCAGCUGCCAAGGGGCAAGAUGAUCAGUCACAAUAAAAAUAAUUAGUUGGAACAUCCGUUGAUUGGGGUGUCCACAGGCUAUAAGAAGGCUUUGACAUAUGUUGAAGGUGUAUAAUCCCCAAGUGGUCUUCUUUAUGGAGACAAAAAUUAGUAAUGUGCAAAUAGAGAAUGUGCAUAGAAGGUGUGGAUUUUUAAAUGGUAUUGAUGUUUCGGCCGAUGGUUCAAGAGGAGGUCAUUUUCUAGCUUGGAAGGAAAAUGUUAAAACGAAUCUAAUGAGUUAUUCUAGUAGUCAUGUAGAUGUUGUAUUUUAGAAGAUUGAUAAUGGAGGUUUGCUGGCUUUUAUGGGACAUCAAAUGCGUGUAGCAGAGACGAUUCAUGGAAUUUGUUAAGAAAUCUAGGACGCUCUCAAGCGUUCCCUUGGCUAGUGUGUGACAAUUUUAAUGAAAUUAUAUACUCUUUUGAAAAGGUUGGGGUGCCAAGAGAGGAGAAGAGAAUAGAGGUCUUUUGAGGAGUCUUAUAGGAAUGUUAGUUAAUGGACAUUGGAUACUUUAGGGCUAGGUUUACCUGGGAAAGGGGAAACUUACCGAAAACGAAUAUGAGAGAGCGACUGGAUAGAGGAGUGGCGAAUGCCGAAUGGAUGAACAUGUUUUCUAGUGCAGUGGUUUAGCAUUUACCACAUUCUUUUCCAGAUCAUUGUCCCCUUUUUAAUCAUACGGAGCAGGAGAGUAAUAGGUUGAGGCAGAAAAGGUUUCAGUCCGAGGCAUGGUGGGUGAUGUAAGAAUCUUUUGAGGAGGAGGUUAAACAAAUAUGUCAAUCUACUUCGGGUGAUAUGUUGGCUAAGCUAGAAGGUGUGAGGAAGGGCUUAGUGAGAUGGGCGGGUUUUGUUAGAAAUAAAAGAGAGGGCCUUAAAAGGAAUUUGACUAGAAAAUUGGAGGAGAUGAUGGGAAAGGAUAGAGAUGAUGAGAAUAUUGUUGAACUAUCUUAAAAUUCUCUUGUCAUAACUUGAAGUUUGUGUCAUUUAAUAUAAGAAUACAAUUAAUGCCUGCAAUAAUGUUGGCAGGUAUAAUUAUUGUUGUAUCAAACAAAACAAUCUCAUGUAUGACUUCAAAUAUAAAACAAAAUAAUAAUUAAUUCGAAUAAAGGUAAACCCUAAGAUACCAAUCACUCCAUUAAUAUUUCAUUUUUGAACAAAUAUAUUAAGUUGUAAAUGAUAUCUUGGUGUAGUAAUUAAACACCGACAAUAAGCGUCACAUGUUUAUUACAACAGUUGCAAAUGUAAUUUUGUUAAAUAUUAGCCUCCAUUUAGGCCAGUCAAUAUUAACAUAACUUAAGUUACAUACACACAACCCCAAAAUUAUAAAAGUCCUAUUGUUAAAUUGAUUUGGUUCCUUUGACAUAGGAAAGCCGAAUUGCAUAAACAAUCAAUGUAUCCCCUAUUUUAUUCAUGUUUAUCACAAUGUUUGAAGGAGUGCUCACUCUUUUAGGGCGUGUUUACCAUUGAGGUUGAAAAGUAUCAUUAAACCCAAACAAUUAUUUCAAACCAAACAUUAAUUUUAAACUAGGAUUUUAGGCCAACCCAAAACUUCUAGCUUUUACUUUUUGGAAAGGUGCUUUUCAAUUAAAAACCUUUUUAUUCCUCGUUAAACUUUCUACUUUAUAACAUAAUGUCUAAAAUGGAAAUUUUAUUUUUCUAAAAACACUUAUAGACAACAAUAAUAAUUACUAUUAAUUUUUUCAAAAUCACUUUUCUACGGCACUGUUAAACUUAAAUGAUAAUCUAGCCUUUUAACCACUCUUUUCUAACAGAGAGCUUAUCUCUUAGCAAUAGUUUGGGCAAACAAAAAUAAUGUAUAUAUGAAAACGAAUAUUGAAUUUGAAUGUACAAUCAAUUUUCUGAAUAAUUAAUUAAAAAGAAUGUUUGAAUUCAAAAAUUUUAAAAAUUUUGAUAAAAAAUGUGGAAGCGCAGACUUGUGUGAUGAAUAGUAAUGAUAAUAAUGAUAGAAGCUGUUUCCUGGCACGAGGAACUUAUGGAAUUCGUCCAUUUGGUUCUAUAUUAGCCCUGUUGCUUCCGUGUUUAAGAGUAAAACGACAAAAUAUUAAGUAGAAAACACCAAACGAAUUGAACUAUUUUCUUAAGAUGGUGUCGGUAAUGUAUCUGUGGAUACCCAUUUGAAUUUUUAAAAAACUGAAAAAAUUAAUUUAUUUUUUAGAUUGAAUCAGCAGCAGGAAAAUAAGAAAAAAUACAACUUUGAGUUUGAGUUUGGAACUCUGAGAUUUCGCUCGGUGAUCUGAAUGGUGAGGUGGUAUGUUUAAAUACGGAGAAUAAUAUAUAUUCGACUAGCAACAAUCUGAUGGAGUGAAAUAGGAACUGAAAAAAAGGGUAAUUUAAAGUUUUGGUCAUUGUUUUAAAAGAUUACCUUCAGUCAUUAUAUUUUUCAGUUUUGGAAUUCCAGUACUACUUAAAUUGUAAUUGUUAAAUCUAUUUACUAUAAUGAUAUAAAAUUUUUAUGAAUAUUAACACUAUUAUUUUUUUUAAAGCACUUAUUCAUGGCACAAGGAACUUAUGAUGAAUAGUAAUGAUAAUAAUGAUAGAAGUUGUUUUUCUGGCACAAGGAACUUAUGAUGAAUAGUAAUGAUAAUAAUGAUAGAAGUUGUUUUCCUGGCACAAGCAACUUAUGGGAUUCGUCCAUUUGGUUCUAUAUUUCUCCGCUUGCUUGAGCGUUUAAGAGUUAAAGGACAAAUUAUUAAGUAGAAAACACCAAACGAAUUGGAAGGCUUUUGUCUUCUUCAAUUGGUAUGACCUAUAUUUCUUAUUAAACUUCGUAUUUUACAUUCAAUAUCAUCAUCACAAUCAUUUUAAUUUAUUUUCAUGAAUAAACUUUUAUGUCUCAUUUUAAUUGAAUCAUUAAAAUUUAUUAAUUGAAUUUUUUUUUAAGAUGGUACCGUUAAUGUGUCAAGUGAUAUCAAUUUAAAUUUUUAAAAAAAGUUGUUUGAAUUAAUUUGAUUUCAUUCGGUAAUCCAAACAGUGAGAUAGUGUGUUUAACUACGGGGAAUAACAUAUAUCCAAAUGGUGACAAUCUGGUGGAGCGAAACAGAUAUCGAAGAAAGAGUAGUUUAAUGAAUUUGGAGUCGACUUCUGGAAAAUCUGAAUUAUAGAAGUGAACGAAGAGGAAAUCUCUUCUUUGGUGCCGUAAUCGACAUAAACGGCCAUUAUGAAUGGCAACAUCGAUAAUUAUUGAGUACAAUGAUUAAAAUUUUCAGUUAAAAAAAAGGAAUGGAAAGGAAAACAAAAAGAAAAACGUGGAAAGAAAGAAAGAAUAAUAAUAAUUAAUUAAUAAAUAAAAAGAGAAUUGUGGGGGCGAUGCUUUUGAACAAAUCUUGAUUUAAACUAUGUAAAGAAAAUAUGCGUUAUAUAUAUAAUUAAUUAUGCACUUAUACUUAAUAUAUUAUAUAUUUAAUGUCAUAUUUUCAUAUUCUCGGGAAGUGGUAAUAUACAAGUACUUGAUUUGAUUUAUUUCUUGAUCGCUUCGUGAAUUUUAUGUUUGUAACAAUAGGGACAGAAUUUCUUCAAUUCCAAUCGACUGGGCGUAUUGUGUCAAUUUUUUUUGAGUAAUAUACCUAGAAAUACCCGUUGAUUCCUUAUAAACGCCGUUUCAAACACAACUGGUACACCCCAAAAUAACCGUUACUCAGACAUCUUUACUAUUGACCAUGAACCUCCUUUGAGUUUUUAAUUCACCUAACUUUUCUAUUUUUCAAUCAAAAGCGAAGAAGAAAGGAAUGAAAAAAAGAAAGAAAUCAAAGUUGCUAACUCAAAACAAAUCCUGACAAUUUUGGUUGCAAUCAAUAUAGCAAGUCAAUAUAAAUUUAUAGUAAUAGCAAAUAAUAAGAAUAAGUAAUACAACGAUUUCUAACUCUAUUUAGAAUCAAAUCAGAGUAUGGUAUUUUCUUUAAUCAAUUAAUUGAAUUCAAAAUAUUCAAUUAAAAUAAAUUAAAUUGUAUAAAUUUUAUAAUUUUAAAUUAUUAUUUUUGUAUUAAUUUAAAACAAAAUAAAUAUUAUAUACAAUAAUUUAGUUGCAGCAUGUCAGCUUGAAGUCCAAGACCUUAUAACAUAUAAAUUUAAUAGAUAAUUAAUAACUAAAAAAUUAAAUAGCAAAAGCAUAAUUGCGCCACUUCUCACCAUUUUAGUGUAUGCAACUUAUUAUAUAUUUAUAUAUAUUAUCAUUUCAUUUUAAAUAAUUUAAUUUUUAUAUUAAUUUUUAUAAAUUUAGGGAUAAAUCUUAAAAUUAUACAUAAACUUUAAUUUAAUGUGUAAUUGCAUACAUAAACUUUAAUUUGGUACAAUUAUACACAUGAUACUCUAAUUGUGGUUCAAAUACAUACUUGAAACUUUAAUUUUGAUUUAAUCAUACACAUUUAAAUAAAUAAAUACAUCAAUUUAUUUUUAUAUUGGGUAAAUAUAUUUAUGUAUGCAAUAUAUAACAUAAAAUGAUGUUAUAUCAAUAAUUGUGUUAAUAAUUUUCAAGAAUUGGAUCAAAUCAAAAUUUCAUGUAUAAAAUUGCACAAAAUCAAAGUUCAUGUAUACAAUUGCACAUUAAACCAUAAUUCAUGUACAGUUUUAGUAUUUAUCCCAUAAUUUAUUAAAUAAACUUUUUACCUAUAUCAUAUAUAGAGUUGUCUGUGAACCGAGCCAAGGAAUGCCCGCUCGAAAAAAUGAGGGUUUAAGAAAAAAAAUAUGCCCAAAAAAAGGGCUUGGAUAAAAAGACAAGGCCCGUUUAGAAAAUGAAUCGGGCCUUUGCUAAGGUUUUUUUUGUCCAAGCUCAGCCCGACCCAAAUUUUCAAUAAAAAAACCCUACUGUUUUUACCGCUAUUUUUUCAUAUUUUGGUGUUGUUUUCUCACUUUUUGCCACUGGUUUACUAUCAUUUCACUAUUAUGUUACUACUAUUUUUUUUGUUAAUGUUUGGAUAUUGUAUAACACUUGUUUUAUUGUUAAUUUUGUCACUAUUUUAGAGGCAUUUGUUUGUUAUGUUGUACUUAUCUUAGUUUUUAUUUAAGUAUAAAAAAUUUUUAAAUUCUAUUUUCAAUUUAUUGGAAACAUGUAAUUUAAUAUUUGUAGUAUAUUUGGUGUAUUAUAAUAAUAUUUAUUAUUAAAAUAUUAAUAUUGAAUAUUUUCAAUAAUAUGUGAAGAAUAUUAUUUAAAAUUAUUUUUUAAAAUUUAUUAUUAAAUUAAAAUUGAAAUAUUAAAUAAUUUAUUAAAAUAAUUAAUUAUAUUAAUAAUUAAUUAUAUGACUAAAUAUAAAUAAUUAAAUAUGUAUGUUUAAUAAUAUUGAAAAAUAUAAUAUUUUAUAUUAAUAUUUUAAAUAUUUUUAAAAAUAAAAAUAAAAGUUAUUUUUAAUAUAAUAAUAUUAAGCUUGAUUUAAAUUAAUUUUUAUAUAAAAAUAAAAUUACCUAUAGAUGAGCUCAUUUUUUAGAAAAUGACUUACACUUUUCAAAAUGAUAAGUCAUUUUAUAGGAAAAAGAGCUAAUUUUACGUUGACCUAUAAGUCAUUUUCCGUUGACCAAACUGUUUUCUGUAAAACAAACAUAGAAAAAUGCAGAAAAUAGUUUCCGUAAAACUUUUUACAUGUAAACAAAUGGACCCUUAAUUCAAGCUUAUUCCAACAUAACCCACUUCACUAUUAGCAUGACUCUCCCUUAUACUAAAUUUAACCAUUAACCCUUCUCAUGAUUUCUAACAAAAAUUUUCAAGUUCUCUUUAAUGGCAACUUGUAUUAACUUCAACAAUAAGAAAUUCUAACUAUGGGGUUGGUUGUAUCAAGUUUCAUAGUUUAAAAAUCUAUAAAAAAAUUAUUGAGAAAAUAAUUUGUUUACCUUUGAUGGCCUUGAUGGAGAACAACUUGGUUUCUUCUUCUACUUAGUUUAAAGAAUGCAUGAAGAAGAAGAAGAUUUCCCCUCUCCCACUAUUUUAAAUAUAUAUAUAAAUAACCUAUUAAUCAAGGUAAUUAAGUCACUAAUUAACCUUAAUUAGUUAUGAUCUAAUGGCCAUAAACUUAUCAUGAGAAAAUUAGUGGAAAUGUGCGGCAUUGAUAAUGGUUUGCCAAUAAUCAAACUUUGGGCAUGGUAAUAUUGCAAUCAGGUUUUUGGUAUAAUUACACUUUUAAGUACUUGCUAAAUUCUGUAAUCAAUUCCCACUAGUUGGGUCACUUGAACAAUUGGGUCCAUGUACUAUAGUUACAACUUAUCCAAUUUAAUCAAUUAAUGAUUUGACUUUAUAAUUUCAUGUACAACACACAAACUCCUCUAGUAAAUUCUCGAGCUAGCUUUAUUUAAAAAUUUGGCCUCAAAAAUAGCUUUCCAAAUGUUCAUGAAAAUUGAGUCGUUACAUAUGGUAUUUGUUUUGUUCAGCUUAUUUGUCAGGCUCUAUAUCCUUUGAACUUAUGUUCGUUGACUUUGGUGUUGCUUAAAUGAAAAUGUGGUGAACAAUCUUAUGGAUAGGAGGAGUGUAUGAUUGAGUAUGUGUAACACCCUUAACCCACAUCCUUCGCCGAAUUAGAGUGACAGAGUGUUACUUGUAACACCCCAAACCCAGCCUAAACGUUAUGGUCGUAUCUGGCAAUGUCACACAAUAGUGUUUUUGAAACCUCGUUGUUACGUUGAAAACAUUUCAUGUUAUUAUCUUUAGUAAACAUUUGUUAGAACUUAGGAAGUCGUCUUUAUUCAUUUAAAACAUUUGUUUUGAAACAUCCCUCGUUGCGGAAGCUUUAAUAAAACAGUCUAAGUGAUCAUGCGUUUAGAAACUAUUUUAAUUUUUUGAAAACUGAAUUUCCUACGACCAACAGGUAUAAAUCCAUAAAGUAAAAUAAAUAAAUAAAAACCCAAAAUUUAAAACCAAAGUCCCAGAAGGUCCUUAAAUUACAACCCAAAUAAUCAAUAAUAAUUAAAUCAUAAAACGUAAAUUGAAAACCAUGAAGUCCAAAAAUUACUGUGGUCACCGCUGAGUCCUCCGUCGCACCGAUUCGUCUAAGUCUGGGGAUUACCUGUGCACGUUAAACAAAAAGGGUGAGUUUACGUAAAUUCAGUGUGUAGUCCCGCAGAAACAAAUAAACAAUCAGUAUUCACAGUGCACAGUUGAACAGUCUUGGGCCCAAGCCCAUCUCAGUACAAUGUCAAAAAUGCAGUAGCAGAAUCCUACCCAACCAACCUCCACACACUAUCUCCGCCCAACCCUACACUCCAUGUGGGGAUAUAAUCAACCCACCCAUCCCUACACUCCAAGUAGUACCGAAUGCGGCACAAAACAGUAGUUUGCAGCUGAGCUGCCAGUAAAUUAGGCUUAAAGCCUUUCAGUACACUUCCUCUGAAUAACAACCCCCAACCCGAUGCAAUGCAACAUACAAUAGAUGAUAUGCUAUUAUGCAAUUUCUGUACAUAUAUUUGGUUCAGAUAUUAACAUGCCCAGUAUAGAUAUCAUUCAGUCAAUUUCACACAUUUAGGGGUCUAAGUAGCGCUUACCGACCUUACAGUAGGUUCACAGUUGACUUGGGUGACCCGUACAACCUUAGAAACAUUCCGGUAAAAUUGGGCUACAUGCCCGUGUGUGCCCGUGUGGCCCACUCGGCCCAAUUUGGCCUUGGUCGUGUGAUCCAUUUUUAAUGUAACCCAUGCUAGCUAAAUAUUCAUAUAUGUUUUCACUAUUUACUUAUAUGUUCAUUUAAAGUUGUCUACUUGAGUCAUUGUCACUAAAUUAUUUAUACCUUGAGCUACAGAAUUCCAAAUUAAGAUCCGCUUGAUGUUUUCAAAACUAUACUCAAAUACCUUUCUACCAUAAAAUUUUCAAAUUUUAUAGUUUACCAAAUAAGUACAGUAAAAUCUUCAAAUUUAUCCCAAUUCUGCUAUUUGAUAGCUUCAACGUUUCCUUACUAAAAAUUAUUUAUCUCUUAGUACGGAAUUCGGAUGAUGUUUCCUUUGUUUCUCUUGAAAAUAGACUCGUUAAGGAUUUAAACAUAUAAAUUUAAGCCCCUAAUUAUUUUUUAAAAUUUUCGAUGAUUUUUCCAAAAUCAGAACAAGGAACCAAAACCCAUUCUAACAUUGUCUCACAAAAUUCAUUAUAUCUCAUAACUUAAAAUUUCAUUGCUUACACAGUUUCCUUCAUGAAAAACUAGACUCAAUAAAAUUUAAUAUCAUAUUUUAUUCAACCUCUAACUCAAUUUCCCCUAUUUUUGAUGAUUUUUCAAAGUUAGACUACUACUGCUGUCCAAAACUAUUUUAAUGCAGAAUGUUGAUUUCCAAGUUUAAAACACCCUUAUUUCCUUUCUCUACAAUUUUUUGCAUCAUUUUCUCUUAUUUCUCGUAUUUCUCGAUAGCAAGCAAUUUCAGCUUUUCGUUGAAUCCCAUUUUCUGCAUUUUGGGUACACACCUGGUAUCGUUUCUGAUGCGUAAGCACUCUUAAGCCUCCAGAACCUAAAAAUCGACCAAUAAAUCUCCAAAUUAAUCACUUAAUUCAUUUUUAAUCAACCAAUUUUGGAAGGAACUCGACUAAAAAAACCUAACAAAACCCUUACCUUGCUUCAGUAACCACGACUUCGCACAAUCAUAGUGUCGAUUCAAAACCACCAACCCCUUGAUUAACUCAUAAACACCAAAAAAGAAACCCCUUUUCAGAGAUUAACCAAGAACGAUUAACAAUAGAAAAAACUGUUACUUACCGAACACACGCAACCAACGAUGAACAACCAAAUCAAUUGGAAAAUAAUGAAAGAAAAGGAAGAGAAAAAAAUAAUGGAAAUUUCGGCAGCAACUAGGGGAAAGAAUCGGUAGAGGAGAGAAAAAAGAAGAAAAAAUCAGAAAAAGUUUGGGUAAUUGGAGAGAAAACCAAAACUCUACUUUUUUUUCUACAACAAAAAGAUAAUCAGAUUAUUUUCUGAUAACCUCUCCCCCAUUAUCUCCUAAAAUCACUCCUUAUUAACCCACUAAAACACAACUACUCAGAAUUUUACCCCAACACAACUCUUAGCCAAAAUUGGAGCAAAAAUACUGUCUCUACGCCAUCAUAGAGAAUUGAACAUAAGACCUCCUUCACACCAACACUCCAUUUAUCCACCAGACCAGCAAGCCCAUUCUGUUAAUUAUUUGUCAUCUUUUACUUAAAAGCCUACUGACCAAAGAUAGGGCUUAUUCAUAAAAAUACCAAAAUUUUCCCAAAACCUGGCUUGAACUUGGGACCUCUCACACACCCAAAACACUUAACCACUAAAGCAGAUACACAAUUGUGUCACACCUUCGUAAGAACAAAAAUAAAAAUUUUGGGACGUUACGUUACUAUACAAAAUAGAACAUUUCAUGACAACACAUAAAUAAUUAUGCAAAUUAUCACAAUCAUUAAUUAACCAUAUUAAAAUAUAACAUAAAUAUCCAUACGACCUUUAAAUCGAGCUUAUAUGUCCCUAAAAAUAGCUUGAGAUCAAUCUAGGAUCAAUUUUGAACAAAAACAUAAAUUUUAAAAAAACCCUAAAAAUUUUGGAAAACAUGGGUCACACAGCCGUGUGUCCAGGCCAUGUGACAUAGCCCAGACCUUGUGGGCAUUCAAAAUCAGGUAACGCAGUCAUGUCCCAGCCCGUAUGUCUACUUGUGUGAAUAUUCGAAAUAGGGUCUCACGGUCGUGUCGAGGAUCGUAUGCUAAACCGUGUGUAUAUUCAAAUUAUGGACACACGGCCGUGUCGCAGGCCAUGUGCUAGACCUUGCUCAAAACUAUUUUGAGACACACAGCUGUGUCUUAGACUGUGUGAAAUUUUCACUUUAAACAACAACACACAGCCGUAUCCUAAGCCGUGUGCACCAAAAUGUACCUUAAAAAUCAAAUUUACCAAAACAUGUUUACUUAGGCAUCAAGCAACCUAAUUACCAUCAAUUAAACUCAUUCAAAACACGAUUAAACAUGUUCAAAAUAUCCAUCCUAAGUUCCUAACCAUUGUGCCCUCAUUGACACCAUAAUUCAAUAAUCAAAUCAAUCACAUUUAAACCAAGAUUUAAACAUUCAAAUUAUAAAAUCACCAUUAACCAUUCAUACCAAAACACUACUCAUUUCAAGUCAUAAACACCUAGCAAUAUUCACAUACUUUAUAAAGCUUAACUACCAAUACCAAAUAAGAUCCAUACACACAUACAUACCAAACAAAACACAUAUUCACAAGUAUCAUUCAAGGUUUACAACUUUACAUGUAAUUAACAUGAUUUCAAGUCACUUAUUACAUGUCAUAUAACCCAAAACAAACAUUAAACAAACUACCAAUAGUUUCUCGAAUAGUUGAUUCUUGAUCUUGAUCUAUAAUAUAAUUUAUUUCAAUUAUUAGCCUCAAUUUUCAUAUUCUAAUCAUUUCAAUACAUAUGAUCUCUUGUUUACAAAUUUACAUAAUUACCCUAAAUUUUUACACAUUAUUCAAUUUAAUCCCUAUGACCAAAUCAAGCUUAGUUCUACAAUUAAAUUCUCAAUCCAUAGAACUAAAUUUUAACCACAUCCAAAACAAUUCAUAUAUGCUAAAAUUUUCAAGAGUAACAUGUCUAUUUCAAUUAAAUCACUAAACAUCAAAAUUUGUAAAAAUCACUUUACAAACUCAAUACAUAUCAUCACCAAGCUUCAACCCAAACUAUUUAAUAUUACAAAUCUUCAAAAUUUUCAAUACAUAAUUUCUAUACUUUGAUAACUUCACAAAUAAACUCCAAAACUAGCUAAAUUCCAUUAUCAAUAGCUCAAAACUUAAAUUUUAUGAUAAAUAAACCAAGAAAAUACUUACAUGCAUUAAAAACUAUCAAAAACCAAGCUCCCAAGCCUUAGAACAAAGGUGUUUCGGCCAAACCUAAGAAAAAUAAAGAAGAUGACCACUACCCCACUUUUGUUUUACUUUCUUUUUAUUAUUAUUAUAAUGUUUAUUUAUGAAAUUAUAACAUUAUCAAACACCAAUUUGAUAUUGUUUUUCUCUCUUUACCGCCCAUAUUAACUAACUAUGGGCUAAUGGCAACAUAACCCCCCUUAGUUUACUAAUUUAAGCUGUUAUAUUAAAAUAAAUCAAUAAUAAGCAACUUUUCCACCUAUUACAAAUUAAUCCUUUUUCUUUAAUCAAUUCACUAUACGUUAAAUUUUCUAAACCAAAACUUAAUAUAACACUGAUGACUUUGUAAAUAUUAAAUAAUUAAUAAUUUUAGAUUGACACGUCGAAAUUGUGGUCCUAAAAUCAUUAUUUUCAACACCACUAGAAAUCGGACUGUUAUAGUAUGGUUCUACCUCUUAGGGGGAGAUGUAUUCUAGUUUCCUUUCACUUGUUUAGAUGAUGUGUUAAUCAUUUGCUAUUGGUUUUGUCAAAAUGCCAAAUGGUGAGAUUGUUUGAACUUUGACUUCUUUUCUUAUUUCACUUCAUGUUCGAAGAGUAGAUUAAACCAUGCUUUGAUGCAUUCAAAGAAUUUAUGUUGGUAUAUUUGAUUUUAUAAUGAAAUGGCUUAUAGUUUAAUCUCGUUGAGUAGCAAAUGGGGAAGUGAUUUUGUAUUAUAACAUGUGAUGAUCAUUAUCUUUCAAUCAACUACCUUGGAAAAGAACGAGAGGAGUUUGAACUUUUGGGGACUUUCGUAAUAUUUGAAGCUGCUGAGAUAUUUGUUUAUAAAGACUUUUAUUUAUCAUUAAUCAAAAUAAUUCAUGAGAUAAUUUCAACCUUUAUAUUGGAGUUCUAAACUUAUGAAGACUCUAUUAUUGGCCUAUAAAUAGGCAUAAUUACCGCACAUUGAAAAUAGGCUUUUGGAGGGUUUGGAUACUUUGGUGAAUUUUUCAUUGGGCUAUAAAUAGGCAUAAUUACCGCACAUUGAAAAUAGGCUUUUGGAGGGUUUAAGUUGGAUACUUCAGUAAAUUUUUCUUGUGUUUUAUACCACACUCUUUUUAAGUUUUAUUGGAGAUAUUUAUUUGAUUGUAAGUGAGGUAUUUUGGAGAGAAUGAUUUAUAAUAAUUUAGGUUCAAUAUUAAAGUUGCAAAUAAUUACGGGUAAAAGUAAUUUGGACUGUAGUCAAUAGUUGAUCAAGACGAAUUGUAAAUUAAAAUUAUUUUCUAAGUAAAAUUCUACAAAAUAAAACUGGUAAAUUCAAACUGCGUUAAUAAAUAUUACAUAUUAUCUUUCCUUACUUUACUCGUUGCUUUACCUUAUUUUAAAAUUGUUUUGUUAUAAUCUAUUAUGUUUGAACCUUUUCGAUCGAAAUAAAAAAAAUGAGAUUGAAAUUGUGAUAAAGCUAAAAAAAGGUUACAACAAAUAUGAUUAAUAUUAUUUUUUAUAUAUACUUAAUAAAAGUUAAAAAGGGAAUUCCAUUUAUUGAAUAUUAUUUUAUUUAAUAAAAUAUAUUUUAUAUAUUUUAUAUAAAAUUUAAACAUUUUAUUGUUUGUUAGUUAAAUUUUAUUAUUUUUAUUUUCUUUAUGAAUAAAAAUAAUUUUCCUAAAAUAUGAGAUAAAAAAUGUUAUAGAGAAUUAAAUUAAUAAAAAGUACAGUUCAUACUUUAUAAUUAUUAUAAAUGAAAAAAUAUUAUGAAAAAAUAUUAAACAUAAAAAAUUAAUUCUAAAAUAAACUUAACUAUAAUAAAAUAAUUUUAUAUAAAAAAAGAAAUUAUAGAAAAGACUUAUUGAAUAUAUUUCCAAUUUUCGACAUUCAUAAAACAAAAAAUAAAAAAAGUGGUUCUAAUAAUUUAUUUAUACAAAAAAAAAAAAGUGGUCCUGACGUUCAUCCUUUCCCAUCUCUAUAAAUUUGCAUGCAGAACUAAAGCAACACAUAUCAACACAAUCUGUAUAACCAUGAAAACCACAACAGCUUCGGUGUUUCUUCUUUUCAUCAUCUUCUCAAUCACACCAUCGUCCUUUUCGUUUGGUGUGGCCAACUCUACAAACGCUCCUGUGCUCGACAGUGAUGGCAACGAGCUCCGCACGGGCACCCCAUACUUCGUUGUGUCGUCGAUAUGGGGUGCUGGUGGUGGGGGGCUUGCCCUAGGCAUGCCUAGCGGAAACCCAUGCCCGGAAGUCGUUGCUCAAAGAGGAUCCGGUGACGAUGGUAUUCCGGUGAUAUUUUCUAAUUCGGACUCCAACGAUGGCGUUGUUCGCCUAUCCUCUGACAUAAACAUAGAGUUCAUUCCCCUCAGACCCAAACUUUGCCGAACAACAACGGUGUGGAAGGUCGAUGAUUACGACCACUCAGCCGGAAAAUGGUGGGUGAUAACCGAUGGGGUUAAAGGGAACCCGGGUGCCAACACUUUGACCAGUUGGUUUAGAAUAGAGAAGUUGGGUGAUCUUGAUUACACAUUUAAGUACUGCCCCGCAGUAUGUGGAACAUGCCCAGCUUUAUGCAACGAAAUUGUGAGAGACUCAGAUGGAGAAAUGAUACGUUUGGCUCUCUCCAAUGGCCAUGGAUGGCAAUUUUACUUUAAGAAAGUUGAAACAUCAGCCAUGGAGAUUCAACAAGUUCAUAAUUAGAUUGAAAGCAAUCAUUAUGCAUGAACUAGUAGUUACUAUACAUUAUUACCUUCAAGUAAAUAAUGCCGAGAGAACUGAUUGUUAAUUAAGAUUGCCUUGUUUGAAGCAGCAGCAUGAAUAUAUAUAUAUGCUUGCUUACAAGGUUUGUCUCUCAGAGUCCUUCUCUUUGUACUCUUUCCAGCUUAAUGUAUAAACUGUCUACUUAUUUACUUCUUUUAUCGCCAUUGAUUCUAGUAGUAUUAGACUCAUUAACUUGGAUACAUUGUCUUGUAAUUAACCCAAAAAUUAUAUAUAUAUAAAAAAAGAGUGAGAGAGGAAAAUAGACUACCAAGUAACAAGCGAAAAACGGUAAUACUAGGGUUAUUUAGAGUGGUUUCAAUGCACAACGGGAAUGAAUUGUCGUUGGUUGGGUGGUUAGGGCACCUUACUUAUCUUUAGAGCUAAAGAAGGUUUCGUAACUACUCUUUCAAUAAUAUUAUUUUUAAGGUUCGAACCUGCAUUAUCCUUUGAACACGUAAUAUGUUUUAUCAUUACGCUCAACAUUAUUAAUGAUUUACUUUAUUCUAUUCUUAAUUAAUAAUUAUGAUAUAUAUUAAGUUUAAGAUGAAUUUUCUUAUUCAUGUAUAUCAAUUAAAUCAAAUAUUUGUAUUUAAAGUUUUAACCCAACAUUAACUUCUUCUUUUUUUUAUUUCUUUCUUUGUUGGUGAUGAUUAGGAGAUUGAUGGCCGGUCUUUGUGGUUGGUAGCUUUUAACACAAUGGCAAAGCCAAGGAGGCUUUAAAUGUUUAAAUGGAUUUUUUUUUCAUUUAAACUUCUUUAUAAUUUAUAAAAUUUUAAAUUAAUAAUGAUAAAAUUACAUUUUAAUCUUUUAAAAAUAAUAAAAAUGUGGAAGCACAUUUGUACGAUUAAUAAUAAUGAUAAGAUUUUUCCCACCACAUGGAAAUUUAUGGAAACGUCAUUGGGUUUUGUAUUUAUGUUUUAUUUGACACUCUUUUAAGUUUUAUUGGGAAGAUUUGCUUGAUUGUAAGUGAGGUAUUUUGGAGAGAAUGAUUUGUAACAAUUUAGAUUCAAUAUUCGAGUUGCAAAUAAAUAUAGAGUAAAGUAAUUUGGGCUUAGUGAAUUAUAGAAUAAAAUCAUAUUCUAAACAAAAUUUUAUAAAAUAAAAUUAAUGAAUCCUAACUAAGUUAACAAAUAUUUCUUCACUCUAGGCAUUGCUUCACCUUAUCUCAAAAUUGUUCUGUAAUAAUCUAUUUUGUCUCGACCUUUCCAACAGAAUUUAAAAUGAAACUAUUUCUGAUAAGUGCAGGCCAAAAACUUUUUCGCGUACCAAUAAAUGGCAAGCGACCAUACUGUGGGCCCAAUGUCCCAACAAUCAUCUAAACAUUUUUUUUAAUAAUAUGUAAUAAUUUAUAUACCAUAUAUGAAUAUUAAUUAAAAUAAUAUAAUAUGGACCCAAAUUGUUUCAUAUUUGAAAUCCAAUUUUUGAUAAUUUCACAUUUCAUAUUUUAUCUUAGAACAAAAAAAAUAUAUUUGAACUUAAUAUUUGGCCUAUUAAUCAAUGGUGUUUACUAUAUUUUAAGACUAUCGAAUUAAUCUAUCGACACUACUUGUAUGGUAUAAUUUAAAUGGGUGUGUGUGGGUAUAUAAAUUUGAAAUUCUAUUGUAUCAAAGAAAAAUUUAGAAAAAAAUAAAAAAAAAAAAGAAUUUGCAAUUUAUAAUUUGAGAUAAAAAUAAAAAAAUGAGAUUUGUGAUAAACCAUAAAUUAAGCUCAAAAAAAGUUACAACAAAUAUGGUUAAUGUUAUUUAUAUAUAUACUUAAUAAAAGUAAAAAUAUCGAAAUUCCAAUAUUAUUUUUAUUUAAUAAAAUAUAAUUAAUAUAUUUUAUAUAAAAUUUAAAUAUUUUAUUGAAAUAUUAUGUUAGGUAAAUUUAUAAAUAAAAUUAAUUUUACUAAAAUUUGAGAUAAGAGAAUUAAAUUAAUAAAAGGCAUAUUUCAUAUUUUAUAGUUAUUAUUAAUAAAAAAUUAUUAUAAAAAUAAAAAAUCAAUUCUACAACAUAAUGAAAUAUUUUUAUUAAAAAAACCAGAAAUGAUUGAUGGAAUAUAUUUCCAAUUUUCGACGUUCAUAAAAAAAAAAAGAGUGGUCCUAAUAAUUUAUUUAUUGGGAAAAAAAAAGUGGUCCUAUUAAUUUACCUCACAUUUGAAAUGUGUUAUAUGUAAUAAUAAUAAUAUCUAUAUAAAUUUUGGACGUUGAUCCUUUCCCAUCUCUAUAAAUUCGCAUGGAGAACUAAAGCAACACAUAUCAACACAAUUUAUAUAACCAUGAAAACCACAACAGCUUCGGUGUUUCUUCUUUUCAUCAUCUUCUCAGUCGCACUAUCGUCCUUUUUGUUUGGUGUAGCCAACGCUACAAACGACCCUGUGCUCGACAUUGAUGGCAACGAGGUUCAAACUGGCACCCCAUACUACGUUGUGUCGUCGAUAUGGGGUGCUGGUGGUGGGGGGCUUGCCCUAGGUAGGCCUAGAGGAAAGCCAUGCCCGGAAGUCGUUACUCAAAGACGAUCCGGUGACGAUGGUAUUCCGGUGAUAUUUUCUAAUUCGGACUCCAACGAUGGCAUUGUUCGCCUAUCCUCUGACAUAAACAUAGAGUUCAUUCCCCUCAGACCCAAACUUUGCCGAACAACAACGGUGUGGAAGGUCGAUGAUUACGACCAUUCAGCCGGAAAAUGGUGGGUGAUAACCGAUGGAGUUAAAGGGAACCCGGGUGCCAAC
rnacentral:lncRNA from 1 species